rnacentral:rRNA from 1 species
UGGGGAAUUUUGGACAAUGGGGGCAACCCUGAUCCAGCCAUGCCGCGUGAGUGAAGAAGGCCUUCGGGUUGUAAAGCUCUUUCGGACGGGAAGAAAUGGUCUGGGCUAAUACCCUGGGCCGAUGACGGUACCGUAAGAAGAAGCACCGGCUAACUACGUGCCAGCAGCCGCGGUAAUACGUAGGGUGCGAGCGUUAAUCGGAAUUACUGGGCGUAAAGCGUGCGCAGGCGGCUUUGCAAGACAGACGUGAAAGCCCCGGGCUUAACCUGGGAAUUGCGUUUGUGACUGCAAGGCUAGAGUUCGGCAGAGGGGGGUGGAAUUCCACGUGUAGCAGUGAAAUGCGUAGAGAUGUGGAGGAACACCGAUGGCGAAGGCAGCCCCCUGGGCCGCGACUGACGCU